ACGUAGCCUGGUGGCUAGGACGCCAGGCUCAUAAUGUGCAGGUUGCUGGUGCAAGCCCGG
rnacentral:tRNA from 1 species